GCUUGUCAACCCCAUCUCGCUUUGCAAGGUAUACCUCUAAAUGAUUCAAAAAGUCUCUUUGUCCCUGUUUAUUAGGGAUUUCAUUGGCGUUUUGUGGGGUUGGUGAAGGCUUGGGAUCCAUCGUCACAGGAAUUUCUUAGUCGGUAGAAGUCUUUCGCGAGAGAGAGAGAGCGCGCAGGAAUUUCUUAGUCGGUAGAGGUCUUUCGCGAGAGAGAGAGAGAGAGAGAUGCGAGGGGAGAUGGAAUCCCUCGCUCG
rnacentral:lncRNA from 1 species